CUCACAUGCAUAUCCCUUAUAGUUGUGAAGCCUUUGGUCUCAUUGGCCUUAUCCCGGCCGUCAUGUUAUUUCCAGCCUAUACUCGCCUUUGAGCUUUCUAUGUAUCUUGGUCCUGCACUUUGGCUCCCCUAUUUUAACCAGAUCAAAACGGUAAACUAAAGAACUAUGUACAUGUGGGUUCUUCUGCGCAGUUGUUUGCCAUCACCUCUCCCUCUUUGUGUCACUCUCCCUCCUUGCCCAGUCCCAACUCCCAUUUCGCAUGAGCCAGGUUGGCAUAUUUGUUUGAGGAGCUUUGCCUAUGCAGUUCCUUUUCAUAUAC